AAAACCCAGCUAACAAAAGCCCUAAAUUAGGCCCUCUAUUCCCUGAUCUUGAACCCACAUUGGGCCGGGCUUCAUACACCAAAGCCGGCAACUCUUCAUCCCUACUAGAAGCUAACUCCACCAAUAUCUUCAACGGUCCACCGGGGGCUAAAACCGCAGCCAAAUCAUAUAAAGCAAGUGAAACAAGCACAAUCCAAGUAGUCCAUUCAGGCCCACCGGGCGCUAAAACCGCAGCCAAAUCAUAUAAAGCAAGUGCAACAAGCACAACCCAAGUAGUCCAUUCAGGUAAUUUAGUAAACCAAGCUGCAACAAUAAUCCCCAAAGCCACCAUAUACAUUUGAUUAAGCAAAAUCGGAACCCCUUGUGAAAAUACCGAAAUAACCCCAACAAUGGUGAAAUUAAAAAGCAGAAGAACAAAAGUAAACGAAUCAAUCGGGAUAUUGAAAUGUUGAAUUAGUGAAAGAAAAAUUGACCCACCCAUUGAACCCAAAACGAAGAAGGCCGAAAAACGGAUGUAAUAUUUGAGGAAAUUAGUGAAACGGUAGUAAUAGAGGAUUACGAGGAGAAAUGUAACGAGAGUUAUGAGGAGUACGAAGACGAGUGCAUUAAGGAGAGCGCCUUCGAGUUUAGUGGAAGUGGUGUCAGUGGGUGAUUCGAGGUAUACGAGGUUAGCAGCUGUACGGAGGACUUGUUGAUCGGAAGAGGAAGUUGAGGAAAGAGAGUAGACGAUGAGAACUACAAGGAACAUGCAGAUGGAGACGGGUGACAUUACUCCGAUGAUUUCAGUUCCGAUCGUUUCUAAUAUGCUGCCGCCGUCCAUUUUUGGGGUCGCCGGCCGGUGGAGGGUGAAUGGCAGAAAAAGGAGUGUGAAGUAGUUGCGGAGGAAAAUUGUAAAGGGUAAAAAGGGAAUGAGGUUAUUGAGAAAAAAAUUGUGCACUUCUUUUUUUUCUAAGUUU
rnacentral:lncRNA from 1 species